CGGGGGUUGCCGGCAGCCACAAGGGAGCUCUGAGCAGUUUUUUUGCCGUGCGAGCCGGAGCCUGGCUGCGGAGUGGCGUAAGGAUCCCCCCCAACGGAUGAGCCGUGCUGAUAGCAAUGAGAGAGCGGAGGCGGUGAACCCUCGGUAGCCCAUAGGGGCUCUUUGUUCGGAACGGAGCGAGGGCUGCGGCAGAGCCUCAUCCCAAAGCAGGGGGCAUUUAGGAGUCAGUAGAAUGACAAACCAGCAGGGUGAUGGAGUUGCUGUCCAGGUGAGAGAGCUGGAUUGAGCCCUGAAGAAGUAGGAGAGCACUUGUGUGGGACUUAAUAAGCAGCCAUCAGUACUGAGACUGCAGAGACUGCUCCUUGAGAAUCCUGGAUCCCAGGGGAAAGAGUCUUUGAGGAAGGAUGACUUCUCGAUUGCGGAGGACGUAGGUGAACAUCGCCUAGGCAAAAGCGAUGCCCACAGAUCCCUGGGUUCUAAUAGGAUGCGCCAGCGUGUGCAGAGGGAGCUGGCUCUCUAUCACAUUUUGUAUGAUCUUUGUUAUAGGAAAGAUUCCUGAGGAUGGGAGGAUAGCCAGCUUCCUUGCAGCCUUCAAGAAGGGCAAGGAGGAUGGCCUCAUCUCUGUCCCUGGAUCAACUUGUUCUGGAUGUUGUCUCCAAGCAACUUGAAGAAAAGAGAUUUCUAUGGGGUAGUAAAGGUGGAUUCACCGAGGGGAAAUCAGGGCAGACUGAUAUGGGAGCCUUCCAUGUUGUUACGACUGUCUCCUCAGAUGACAGAAUAGCAGGGGAUGUUGCACGCUUGACUUCAAUGAGGCUGUUAACACUAUAUUUGUGGCAGCGUGCUUGGUGAGCGCAAGGAAGAUGGGCAGACUCAGCAUUGCAGUUGGAAGCUGAAAUAGUGUUAUGUGGGGUGGGUACUGCAUCUUACUGUGCUUAUAUUUCAUCGGUGACCUGGAUGGAGAGGGAGCUGAUGAUGCAAAGCUGGGAGGAGCAGCUGACAGAGGGACCCUGUGAACUUCAAGGAGAGCAAGUAUGGGGUUGUGCAGUUAAUGUGCACCUGUAUGUUAGUGAGUGGUUUGCUGGAGAGGAGACCUGAGGGGGACUUGGUGUUCAGCUGUGAGCUCCAGAAAUCCAGUCUUAUGCUGGGGUGGGUGAAAAUGAAUGAGAGCAAUGGGAUUCUACCCUGUUGAUCCUGUGUCUGGACUACUGUGUUCACUUUGUCUCUGCAGGUCAAGAAGAUGAGAAACUUUGUAGAGAGUGCAGCAGUACAAUAAAGAAGAUGAGGGGCCUGGAGCAUCUCCCUUCUGAGAGAAGGAUGUUCAACAACCUAUGGCUGCUUCACCAAGAGAAGGGAAGGGUGAAGGCUGCAGAUGGAAGUUUCUUUGCAAGGAUUGGCCUGAACAUGAGGUGUUUCAUCAGCAGUGAGUAGUGGGGGUGUGAGCCUUCCAACCUGAGGGCCACUUGGUGGUGUUUCACAGAGCUCUUCUAGGUUCAGUGCUGGAACUAGGAUCCUGGUGGUGAGUUGUCUUUGUUUGUGACCUGUCUGUGCUGUCCCUGGGAUGGAGUUUACAGCUGGCAUUGUGUCUUUUGUCUUGGCAAAGAUUCAUUGUGCUUUUCUUUCAGCCCUGAAGGUGUUGUCUUGGAGCAGUGGAGAUGCAGCAGCCCUUGUUCAGGAGUUUGGAAUUGUCUGAAGAACAAGGUCACAAUUGUUGAUGGGGAGCUGCACUCUACUAAAGGUGAAGAAGUGCAACUGACUGAGGAGGUAGAUGGUGUCCUUGGUUGAGGUGGCUCUCCCAUGUUGAGCUUUGUUUUUGCUCCCUGUGUUGUCUUUUUUUUGUAGAGUUUGGAGGUUGAAGUUCUUCCUUAUUUGACUUGAAAACAACCACAAAGCCAAGUAGUGGCUUUGGUGCCCUGUAAUAGGGAAUGGUAUGUGUUAGAGCCACUUCUCUAGGAAGUGGCUGGUUCUUAUUGCUUUUAAGGAGU